GGGGAAUAUUGCGCAAUGGGGGAAACCCUGACGCAGCAACGCCGCGUGAAGGGAGAAGGUUUUCGGAUCGUAAACUUCUUUGAUGAGGGACGAAUAAAUGACGGUACCUCAAAAACAAGCCACGGCUAACUACGUGCCAGCAGCCGCGGUAAUACGUAGGUGGCGAGCGAUGUCCGGAAUUACUGGGUGUAAAGGGCGCGUAGGCGGGGAUGCAAGUCAGAUGUGAAAUACUGAGGCUUAACCUCAGGGCUGCAACUGAAACUGCGUUUCUUGAGUGUCGGAGAGGAAAGUGGAAUUCCUAGUGUAGCGGUGAAAUGCGUAGAUAUUAGGAGGAACACCAGUGGCGAAGGCGACUUUCUGGACGAUAACUGACGCUGAGGCGCGAAAGCGUGGGGAGCAAAC
rnacentral:rRNA from 1 species